CUUACGAGCUUCUAGGGUUCCGGCUCAGCGGUGUUAUCGGCGCUUGAGUGCCUGGUCCGAGAGAAGCGGCUGGUUUAGGAAUUUCUGAGCAGGCCUCAGACGUUUUGCCAGUACACGGCGGGAUAAAAGCCCGGGAGGU
rnacentral:sRNA from 2 species